GCCCAUCGUGAGGGUCCGAUAGAAAGACAUCACCACCAUUUUGAAAUCCAACUCGAGUUCCGGAAUCGUAGUUCCGGAUUCUGGAAUUCCGGAACCUGCGGACCUCGUGGUUCGUGGGUUUCGGUGGAGGAUCGCGGAGAUUCUAGACCGGUGGAGGAUGAACGCAGCGAUUGGACGGUAGGAUGUGGUGUCCGCAUCGAUACCUCACUGAAGGGGUACCGUCCCAAAUAUGCGCCCUAUAAAAAUAAUUAAUAAAUUUUAGUAAAAUAAAUAAACAAAUAUUGGUGUAUUUAUAUUAAAC
rnacentral:lncRNA from 1 species